AUUGAACGCUGGCGGCAGGCCUAACACAUGCAAGUCGAACGAGUGGCGGACGGGUGAAUAAUGUCUGGGAAACUGCCUGAUGGAGGGGGAUCACUACUGGAAACGGUAGCUAAUACCGCAUACCAUCAGCUGUGCCCAGAUGGGAUUAGCUUGUUGGUGGGGUAACGGCUCACCAAGGCGACGAUCCCUACCUGGUGUGAGAGGAUGGCCAGCCACACGGGAACUGGGACACGGUCCAGGCUCCGACGGUAGGCAGCAGUGGGGAAUAUUGCACAAUGGGGGCAAGCCUGAUGCAGCCAUGCCGCGUGUAUGGAGAAGGCCUUGGGGUUGUAAAGUACUUUCAGCGGGGAGGCGUUACCCGCAGAAGAAGCACCGGCUAACUCCGUGCCAGCAGCCGCGGUAAUAC
rnacentral:rRNA from 1 species